rnacentral:rRNA from 1 species
UCCUAGCCGUAAACGAUGGACACUAGGUGUUGGGAGCAUCGACCCUCUCAGUGCUGUUCUGCUAACGCGUUAAGUGUCCCGCCUGGGGAGUACGGCCGCAGGGUUGAAACUCAAAGGAAUUGACGGGGGCCCGCACAAGCGGUGGAGCAUGCGGGUUAAUAGGAUGAUACGCCAAGAACCUUACCAGGGCUUGACAUCACUCGGACAGCCUGUGAAAGCAGGUCUCCUGGGCA